rnacentral:lncRNA from 1 species
AUGCACAAGAGCUGACUGUGGCUCUGGGAAGACAUUUUACUCAUUUGAUUUCUUUUUUCUUGUAGUCUUCUUGUCCAGUUCUCAGGUGUUUACCACCUAUUAGAAUUUCACCUGUAUGGGUCCUGUGUUUGAGAAAGUCCCAGGACUUGUCAGCUGUAUAGGCCUCAUAAAAGACAGCUCUGUUCAGGGUUUGAAAGGGACUGCAGUUAAAAGCUAGGGCUAGGACUUGGAGGAUGUGUAGGCAAACGGAAGGAGAGCCGAGGGAAGAAAAACCGAAAUGGAUUCAUUCUCUGUCCUGGAUGGAGGAGGAGAGGAGAAGAGAAGGGGACGUGCGAGCUUCCUUCAACUGCCUCUGUCCGGUGAAAAGUGCUCAGACCCCCGGGGCUGAGCCGGGCUCAGGAGUCCGCGCGGACUUUCGCUUUAAGCUGCCAAUCAAAGCGCUAACUAGCCACCACCCUGCUCUGGCACCGACAUGA